UUUUUAGAAACUAGAAAUUAAAAGAGAACUAAUGCAAUUGGUCUCAUAUUUAUUGGAAUUAAAAUGAAUGAGAUAUGAUUUUUUGAAAUAAAAAUGAAAUAAAAGAAAUAAAAUGGAAAUUAAAAUCAGAAAUAGAAAAUGAGGAAAAACCACACGCGUUGGAUUCAAAUCAUUAAUUGACCUGGCAGAUCAGACGGUUGUG
rnacentral:lncRNA from 1 species